rnacentral:lncRNA from 1 species
UUGUUUCUCUUUAUCCACUCUAUUGAGAGAGUAUUUGUUUUAAAAGAGAGUUGUUUGAGAGAACAUAUCUUCUCAUUUGUCGGGUUUGCUAAGUACCCAAGGUCUUAGUGGUUGAAGUCUUGGGGGUGAGGUAUCCUCAAGCAAGUGAAGUCUUAAGGUGUGGUAUCCUUGAGCAACUGUAACGGUUUGUUAAGCACCCGUAAGCUU